rnacentral:rRNA from 1 species
GACGAACGCUGGCGGCGUGCUUAACACAUGCAAGUCGAACGGAAAGGCCCUGCUUUUGUGGGGUUCUCGAGUGGCGAACGGGUGAGUAACACGUGAGUAACCUGCCCUUGUCUUUGUGAUAUCUUCAGGAAACUUGUGCUAAUACCCGAUAGCAUCUCCUGCUGCUUGGUCUUCUUUGGAAAUUUUCGUCGGUUGGGGAUGGACUCGCUGCUUAUCAUCUUGUUGGUGGGGUAGUGGCUUACCAAGGCUUUGACGGGUAGCCGACCUGAGAGGGUGAACGGCCACAUUGGGACUGAGAGACGGAGCAGAAUGGAACGGGAGGCAGCAGUGGGGAAUAGUGCACAAUGGGGGGAAGGGUGAUGAAGAAAGGCGGGGGGCGGGAUGAAGGGCAAGGGGUAGAAAAGAGAAUUAGAAUGAGACGAAGGGAGAGUGACGGGAAUGGGAAAAGAAGGAACGGCUAACUACGUG